rnacentral:lncRNA from 1 species
CUGGUAGUUAGAAAUUUUUAUUUACAUAGCAUAUGAUGCAUGUAUAUGUUUAGGAUGUGUUGGAGACCUAAGUUCCUCCGUUAAAUGAUAUUAAGUCUUAAUGACGAAGUGUUAAAAAUACUACCCAUGCCUUCCUUUAUGCUAAGUCACUAUUAUAUCAAGAAUCAUAGUAGGCUUGUUGUGCUAUCCACAAAGCUCGCUGUGGGGACUGGCUAAAUACUAUCUUGGUGCAUAAUGAAGCUAAUGGUAUUUAGCUUAUACUAAGUCAAUAGAGUAUAUCAAAAACU